rfam:Candidatus Tremblaya princeps PCVAL, complete genome.
GGAGCGUUAGCUCAGCGGCAGAGCGGCGGACUCUUAAUCCGCGCGCCGAGUGUUCGAAUCACUCACGCUCCA